rnacentral:lncRNA from 1 species
AUUCUGUAUGUGCUGCCGCCUUUCUUAGUUCCUUGUUGCUCAAGAUCGGUGGGUAAUCUCAAAGCAAUCGGCUCAGUUCCUUCUCGUUGCUUAAGGUUGGUGGGUAAUCUCAAAAGAGAUUGGCUGAUGGCGACCCUCCCUGGCUACCUAUUAGCUGCAAUUGUUGAUAUCUUGGAAUGAAGCAGUCAAUCUGGGCACUGUGUUCUGGCUAUCCUGAAUCUUUUGCUGAUGAGUGUAGAUAGACUUUGCAUGUUGACAUUAACAGUGAGCUGUUGGCGAGAUUAGUUUGUGUUGUAAGUGGAGAAGAAGUGAAAUGGGACUCUUUCAGCGUGUCCCCCAUGCGGGGAGUCUCUUCAUAGAUAUGUAAAAUUGAUAACACAUAUUUAUUCGGACUUGCUGAGUUUUGAUCCUCCAACAAGAUUUGUGCUGUUGUCGAUAGAAUUGUAAGAGCUAUGUUGUGUUAUGAGCUAUGUUGCUAGUUUUUCUUUCCUUUUGAAUCUAGUUGUUUCUACGUGAUGGUCAUUUC